GAUGAUUGUCCAACUGGUUUGGUGUCGAGUUGAAAAAUGCAUCACCGGGUAGACAUUCAUUCUC
rnacentral:pre_miRNA from 1 species